GUGCACAUUGAUCAUGGUAGUAUUAUGGAAAGAAAGUUAAGGAUUCAAGUAAAGGUGGCAAGUAUAUCAAGUAGAGGGACGUUCUAGAAUCCAGAGGAACAAAGGUUGAUAUAGAUUGUUAACGAAAAGGAAAAAAAGAAUGAGUAGGAACUAAAAAAUUUGAUAUCAGAAAGAAAAUUUAGAAUUGAAAUUAUGAUAGUU
rnacentral:lncRNA from 1 species